rnacentral:rRNA from 1 species
UACGUAGGUGGCAAGCGUUGUCCGGAUUUACUGGGCGUAAAGAGCGCGCAGGCGGUUGAUUAAGUCGAUUGUGAAAUCCCUGGGCUCAACCUGGGAAUUGCAGUCGAUACUGGGCAGCUCGAGUUCGGUAGAGGGUGACGGAAUUCCCGGUGUAGCGGUGAAAUGCGUAGAUAUCAGGAAGAACACCCGUGGCGAAAGCGGCUCUCUGGAACGGGUACUGGACGGCUGAGACGCGAAAAGCGUGGGGAGCGAACAGGG